rnacentral:rRNA from 1 species
GAUGAACGCUGGCGGCGUGCCUAGUACAUGCAAGUCGAGCGAACGGACGAGAAGCUUGCUUCUCUGAUGUUAGCGGCGGACGGGUGAGUAACACGUGGAUAACCUACCUAUAAAACUGGGAUAACUUCGGGAAACCGGAGCUAAUACCGGAUAAUAUUUUGAACCGCAUGGUUCAAAAGUGAAAGACGGUCUUGCUGUCACUUAUAGAUGGAUCUGCGCUGCAUUAGCUAGUUGGUAAGGUAACGGCUUACCAAGGCAACGAUGCAUAGCCGACCUGAGAGGGUGAUCGGCCACACUGGAACUGAGACACGGUCCAGACUCCUACGGGAGGCAGCAGUAGGGAAUCUUCCGCAAUGGGCGAAAGCCUGACGGAGCAACGCCGCGUGAGUGAUGAAGGUCUUCGGAUCGUAAAACUCUGUUAUUAGGGAAGAACAUAUGUGUAAGUAACUGUGCACAUCUUGACGGUACCUAAUCAGAAAGCAACGGCUAACUACGUG